AGCAGACCCAAUGAAAGGUGAAAGCUCUUUGGCUAGAAUGGCUCCUCAGAGUUGUUCUGAGUUGGGUUGAGAUGGCCAGGAUUGUAUACCCUUGUAUCAAUCAGUCAUUGGAUGUGGGCCACUUUGGGAAAGGACGUGAUCUUGGACAAGACAGUGUUCUGCUUCUAACAAUCCCUGAGUAGUGUGACAGCUAACGGCUGUCUGCUGACAGCAUUUUCAGAAUCAGCAAAUGGAUGCAACAACGGACUGCAAACAGUCUCACCUGUUCCACUCCAGAUCUGUUUGAAUUUUAUCUGUGAAUUGGUGUCUCCUGUGGUCUUGUAACUCUCCAG
ensembl:lncRNA